UACGUAGGGUGCAAGCGUUAAUCGGAAUUACUGGGCGUAAAGCGUGCGUAGGUGGUUGUUUAAGUCUGUUGUGAAAGCCCUGGGCUCAACCUGGGAACUGCAGUGGAAACUGGACAACUAGAGUGUGGUAGAGGGUAGCGGAAUUCCCGGUGUAGCAGUGAAAUGCGUAGAGAUCGGGAAGAACACCCGUGGCGAAGGCGGCACUCUGGGACGGUACUGACGCUGAGACGCGAAAGCGUGGGGAGCGAACAGG
rnacentral:rRNA from 1 species